rnacentral:rRNA from 1 species
UACAGAGGUCCCAAGCGUUGUUCGGAUUCACUGGGCGUAAAGGGUGCGUAGGCGGUCGGGUAAGUCUGAUGUGAAAUCUCACAGCUUAACUGUGAAACUGCAUUGGAUACUAUCCGGCUAGAGGAAUGGAGGGGAGACUGGAAUACUUGGUGUAGCAGUGAAAUGCGUAGAUAUCAAGUGGAACACCAGUGGCGAAGGCGAGUCUCUGGACAUUUCCUGACGCUGAGACACGAAAGCCAGGGGAGCAAACGGG